rnacentral:rRNA from 1 species
AGUGAACGCUGGCGGUAGGCCUAACACAUGCAAGUCGAACGGCAGCACAGUAAGAGCUUGCUCUUACGGGUGGCGAGUGGCGGACGGGUGAGGAAUACAUCGGAAUCUACUUUUUCGUGGGGGAUAACGUAGGGAAACUUACGCUAAUACCGCAUACGACCUACGGGUGAAAGCAGGGGAUCUUCGGACCUUGCGCGAUUGAAUGAGCCGAUGUCGGAUUAGCUAGUUGGCGGGGUAAAGGCCCACCAAGGCGACGAUCCGUAGCUGGUCUGAGAGGGUGAUCAGCCACACUGGAACUGAGACACGGUCCAGACUCCUACGGGAGGCAGCAGUGGGGAAUAUUGGACAAUGGGCGCAAGCCUGAUCCAGCCACACCGCGUGAGUGAAGAAGGCCUUCGGGUUGUAAAGCCCUUUUGUUGGGAAAGAACAGCAGCAGGUUAAUCCCCCGCUGUUCUGACGGUACCCAAAGAAUAAGCCCCGGCUAACUUCGUG